rnacentral:rRNA from 1 species
UGGGGAAUUUUGGACAAUGGGCGCAAGCCUGAUCCGGCCAUGCCGCGUGCGGGAAGAAGGCCUUCGGGUUGUAAACCGCUUUUGUCAGGGAAGAAAUCUUCUGAGUUAAUACCUCGGGAGGAUGACGGUACCUGAAGAAUAAGCACCGGCUAACUACGUGCCAGCAGCCGCGGUAAAUACGUAGGGUGCAAGCGUUAAUCGGAAUUACUGGGCGUAAAGCGUGCGCAGGCGGUUUUGUAAGACAGAGGUGAAAUCCCCGGGCUCAACCUGGGAACUGCCUUUGUGACUGCAAGGCUUGAGUGCGGCAGAGGGGGAUGGAAUUCCGCGUGUAGCAGUGAAAUGCGUAGAUAUGCGGAGGAACACCGAUGGCGAAGGCAAUCCCCUGGGCCUGCACUGACGCUCAUGCACGAAAGCGUGGGGAGCAAACAGGAUUAGAUACCCUGGUAGUCCACGCCCUAAAACGAUGUCAACUGGUUGUUGGGAAGGUUCCUUCUCAGUAACGUAGCUAACGCGUGAAGUUGACCGCCUGGGGAGUACGGCCGCAAGGUUG